AACUCUGAGCAGUGGAUCAUUCGGCUCAUGAGUCGAUGAAGAAUGCAGCCAGCUGCGACACUUGGUGUGAAUUGCAGAACACAUUGGGCACUGACUUUUCGAACGCGCAUUGUGAUUUCGGGUGAUACCCGGGAGCUCGUCUGUCUGAUGGUCG
rnacentral:rRNA from 1 species